UGGGAGACUUUUACUGCUGUCUUCAACAACCUCACUGCAAACUGCAGAAAGAGCCAGACUAUACUCAGAGAUGUACAGUGGUAGGAUGGGAGGCAACAGUCAUAUAUUAUAACAAGAAAAUUUCCAGUGACAUAUCAAGAAAAAAUGCCAUGAAGGUACUAAAACAUUAAAGGACAUUGCCCGGAGAUGUGGAGUUUCCACCCUUGGAGUGAUUCAAAGCUUGGCUGGUCACAGUCCUGAGCAACUUGAUGUUUGUUGGCCCUGCCAUAGCUGGGAAGUUGGACAAGGUGUUCUGCAGACUUCUCUUCCAACUUGUAUCAUUUUGUGAAAGAUUGUUGGUGAAGAAAGAGAAGCUAUAUCUUUCCCUUUACUGCUGUCUCUGAAAGGGAAAAUGCAUGCUUCUGUACACAGAGCCUUCAUGAGGAGGUGUCAGAGGAAGUGUAAAAGAUGGGAGGUCUGUGUGGAUGAACAAAUGGCUCCUAGCCAAACUCACAAACAAACCGGAACCAUAAAGACGGUGGAAGCAAGGAUGAGUAACCUGGAAGGAAUACAAAAGCAUUGUCUAAGCAUCCUGGGAUGAAAUUAGAAAAGCUAAAUCCCAAAUGGAAUUGAAUCUGCAAAGACAUCAAAGACAACAAGAAGUGCUUCUGUAAGUAAUAGGCGACAAAAGGAAGACUAGGAAAU